GAUUAGUGGCGAACGGGUGAGUAACACGUGAGUAACCUGCCCCUGACUCUGGGAUAAGCCCGGGAAACUGGGUCUAAUACUGGAUAUGCACCGUGAACCGCAAGGUUCUUGGUGGAAAGAUUUUUUGGUCAGGGAUGGACUCGCGGCCUAUCAGCUUGUUGGUGAGGUAAUGGCUCACCAAGGCGACGACGGGUAGCCGGCCUGAGAGGGUGACCGGCCACACUGGGACUGAGACACGGCCCAGACUCCUACGGGAGGCAGCAGUGGGGAAUAUUGCACAAUGGGCGAAAGCCUGAUGCAGCGACGCCGCGUGAGGGAUGACGGCCUUCGGGUUGUAAACCUCUUUCAGUAGGGAAGAAGCGAAAGUGACGGUACCUGCAGAA
rnacentral:rRNA from 1 species